AGCAGCCGCGGUAAUUCCAGCUCCAAUAGCGUAUAUUAAAGUUAUUGCAGUUAAAAAGCUCGUAGUUGAAUUUCGGGAUCAAUCUGUUGGUCGUGCCUUUGGUACGUACUAGCUUAUUGAUUUCUCCCUUCUGACGAACCAUGAUGUCAUUAAUUUGGUGUCAUGGGAAAUCAGGACUGUUACUUUGAAAAAAUUAGAGUGUUUAAAGCAGGCUCACGCUUGAAUACAUUAGCAUGGAAUAAUGAAAUAGGACGUUUUGAUUCUAUUUUGUUGGUUUCUAGGAUCGACGUAAUGAUUAAUAGGGAUAGUUGGGGGCAUUAGUAUUCAAUUGUCAGAGGUGAAAUUCUUGGAUUUAUUGAAGACUAACUACUGCGAAAGCAUUUGCCAAGGAUGUUUUCAUUAAUCAAGAACGAAAGUUAGGGGAUCGAAGACGAUCAGAUACCGUCGUAGUCUUAACCAUAAACUAUGCCGACUAGGGAUCGGAUGAUGUUAAUUUUUAAUGACUCAUUC
rnacentral:rRNA from 1 species